rnacentral:rRNA from 1 species
GACGAACGCUGGCGGCGUGCUUAACACAUGCAAGUCGAACGGAAAGGCCCUGCUUUUGUGGGGUGCUCGAGUGGCGAACGGGUGAGUAACACGUGAGUAACCUGCCCUUGACUUUGGGAUAACUUCAGGAAACUGGGGCUAAUACCGGAUAGGAGCUCCUGCUGCAUGGUGGGGGUUGGAAAGUUUCGGCGGUUGGGGAUGGACUCGCGGCUUAUCAGCUUGUUGGUGGGGCAGUGGCUUACCAAGGCUUUGACGGGUAGCCGGCCUGAGAGGGUGACCGGCCACAUUGGGACUGGGAUACGGCCCAGACUCCUACGGGAGGCAGCAGUGGGGAAUAUUGCACAAUGGGCGGAAGCCUGAUGCAGCAACGCCGCGUGCGGGAUGACGGCCUUCGGGUUGUAAACCGCUUUCGCCUGUGACGAAGCGUGAGUGACGGUAAUGGGUAAAGAAGCACCGGCUAACUACGUG